rnacentral:rRNA from 1 species
UGUUUCGGCUAGGGGGCCAUCCCGGCUUACCAACCCGAUGCAAACUGCGAAUACCGGAGAAUGUUAUCACGGGAGACACACGGCGGGUGCUAACGUCCGUCGUGAAGAGGGAAACAACCCAGACCGCCAGCUAAGGUCCCAAAGUCAUGGUUAAGUGGGAAACGAUGUGGGAAGGCCCAGACAGCCAGGAUGUUGGCUUAGAAGCAGCCAUCAUUUAAAGAAAGCGUAAUAGCUCACUGGUCGAGUCGGCCUGCGCGGAAGAUGUAACGGGGCUAAACCAUGCACCGAAGCUGCGGCAGCGACACUGUGUGUUGUUGGGUAGGGGAGCGUUCUGUAAGCCUGCGAAGGUGUCCCGUGAGGGAUGCUGGAGGUAUCAGAAGUGCGAAUGCUGACAUAAGUAACGAUAAAGCGGGUGAAAAGCCCGCUCGCCGGAAGACCAAGGGUUCCUGUCCAACGUUAAUCGGGGCAGGGUGAGUCGACCCCUAAGGCGAGGCCGAAAGGCGUAGUCGAUGGGAAACGGGUUAAUAUUCCCGUACUUGGUGUUACUGCGAAGGGGGGACGGAGAAGGCUAUGUUGGCCGGGCGAC